CUUCUCGGAAUUUUACCUUUUUAUGGGGACUUGCAAUUAAGGCAUCCCGUUAUUGUGGUUGUUGCUAUUUGUAUGGUUGGCUAUCUGCGAGUUUUGGCCUUGAGCUUGGACCAACUUUUGGUUUUGUUCAUACAUUGGAGGUGUAGAUUUUUUUUGAUGGCGUUAUCCUCUUAAAGGGUCUUUGAUUCUUUAUAAUACAACUAUUUUGCUUACAGAAAAACUGGCUGAAUGUCUUAUAUGUUUACCAUGGCAG
rnacentral:lncRNA from 1 species